CCUACGGGAGGCAGCAGUGGGGAAUAUUGGACAAUGGGGGGAACCCUGAUCCAGCCAUGCCGCGUGUGUGAAGAAGGCCCUCGGGUUGUAAAGCACUUUCAGUGAGGAAGAACGCCUGGUGGUUAAUACCCAUCAGGAAAGACAUCACUCACAGAAGAAGCACCGGCUAACUCCGUGCCAGCAGCCGCGGUAAUACGGAGGGUGCGAGCGUUAAUCGGAAUUACUGGGCGUAAAGCGCGCGUAGGUGGCUUGAUAAGCCGGUUGUGAAAGCCCCGGGCUCAACCUGGGAACGGCAUCCGGAACUGUCAAGCUAGAGUGCAGGAGAGGAAGGUAGAAUUCCCGGUGUAGCGGUGAAAUGCGUAGAGAUCGGGAGGAAAACCAGUGGCGAAGGCGGCCUUCUGGACUGACACUGACACUGAGGUGCGAAAGCGUGGGUAGCAAACAGGAUUAGAUACCCUAGUAGUC
rnacentral:rRNA from 1 species